UACAGAGGUCUCAAGCGUUGUUCGGAUUCAUUGGGCGUAAAGGGUGCGUAGGUGGCCUGUUAAGUCGGAUGUGAAAUCCCGGGGCUCAACCCCGGAACUGCAUUCGAUACUGCUGCGCUAGAGUACUGGAGAGGAGAUUGGAAUUUACGGUGUAGCAGUGAAAUGCGUAGAUAUCGGAAGGAAGACCAGUGGCGAAGGCGGAUCUCUGGACAGUUACUGACACUGAGGCACGAAGGCCAGGGGAGCAAACGGG
rnacentral:rRNA from 1 species